ensembl:snoRNA
UGGAAAUGAGGACAAAACAUGCAAGUCUGGAUUUCAUUAUGAAGACUUCUAAUCCAACUCUGAUCCAAAUAUUUUC